AUCAGCUGUGGGCAUAGAGCUUUGAGCAACAGUUGUUUAGCAAGUAUCUGCAGAUAAGGCCUUCACUUUCUUCCUGGAGGAACAGGCUCAAAUCCAGGAGCUGGAGAAGACCACGAGAAGCCUCCUGUUGUGAACUUCUGAUGACGGUGUUUUUGGGCACAGACCAGAUCUUCAGCACCACCUGUUUUAUGAGAACCACAGGAACAACUCCUCAGUAAGGCUGAGGAAGACUUGAAUUAAAAAGCCCUUCUGGGGAACUUAUGCCAAAACACUUUGGGCUGAUAUCUGGAAAACUCCUCGGCUGAAAAGUAAAUUUAGGUUUGUUUUGCUUUCUCAGUAACUCUUGUACUUAUUUCUUCACCUUCAAAGUUCUCUUGCCGCUAAUACGUCUUAACUGAAUGAGAUAACUAUUCUUUGUUUGCACUUUGUACCCCCAGAAGAAGAAUCUAUAAGGGAAUCACUUUUUCAUGGUUUUAUUUCCUCUUUACUUUCCACUCAGUACCAUUCUUGAAUUUUACUGGCACUUACGCAGAUGUUUUUAAAGCACUGUAUACAUCUACUUUUUACUUGUGUCAUUCUGCCCAACCUAUUUUGUAUAGGUACCUUAAUGUAUCCUAAAUCACCAGAUUCUUAAGACUCGCUAGUUUUGGUAAGACUUCAGCUAUACUGCGCCUGUUGUUAUAUUAGCUAUGCUUCCAAAAAUUGCUUUUUAAGUUAUAAGUAAAAAGAAUCAAGCACUUCACAUUAUAGCUGUCACGUUUGCCUCCUUUGAACCAUAGAUGCAAAUAAAGUAUGAAAUGGUGUAUG